GAUGAACGCUAGCGAUAGGCUUAACACAUGCAAGUCGAGGGGCAGCAUUAUUUUAGCUUGCUAAGAUAGAUGGCGACCGGCGCACGGGUGCGUAACGCGUAUGCAACCUGCCUGUAAUUAGGGAAUAACCCGGUGAAAGUCGGACUAAUACCCUAUAUUCUUCUUUCUCUGCAUGGGGGAGGACGGAAAGAUUUAUUGAUUACAGAUGGGCAUGCGUCCCAUUAGCUAGUUGGUAAGGUAACGGCUUACCAAGGCAACGAUGGGUAGGGGGACUGAGAGGUUGACCCCCCACACUGGUACUGAGACACGGACCAGACUCCUACGGGAGGCAGCAGUGAGGAAUAUUGGUCAAUGGGCGAGAGCCUGAACCAGCCAAGUCGCGUGAAGGAGGACGGUUCUAUGGAUUGUAAACUUCUUUUGUAGAGGAAUAAUGGCAGCUACGUGUAGCUGAGAUGCAUGUACUCUACGAAUAAGUAUCGGCUAACUCCGUGCCAGCAGCCGCGGUAAUACGGAGGAUACGAGCGUUAUCCGGAAUUAUUGUGGUUUAAAGGGUUCGUAGGUGGCGUAUUAAGUCAGUGGUGAAAAGCUGCAGCUCAACUGUAUUCUUGCCGUUGAAACUGAUAUGCUAUGAGAGGAGACGAGGUAUGCGUGUGUGUGUUGGUGUAUCGGUGAAAUGCAUAGAUAUUCACACACAACUCUGAUCGCGAAUGCCUCUUAUCACGCUCUGUCUUGACUCUUUUGGCUCGAAUGCGUUGUGUAUUAAUCUUGUAUUACAUCCCCUGUAUUCAAAGAGUGUAAUUCAUCAGUGUGGAUCAGGUCACUGUCCCUUGCACCUCUUGGGGAAAUAAAAAAUACUAUUAUUUUCCCUUUAUUGUAGUUUAUUUAUCAUGUGCUGCUCCCUUUGUGUCUCAUGUGAUUAUAUGUGUUGCUGUCCUGUUGUUAUGCUUCCUGUCUCUAUGUUGUUGCUACUUUCUUGUUUUGUGCUUAUUGCUUUACUUUCAUGCCCUUGCCUUUGCCCUUUGUUAGUGCUACUUUCUCCUAUUUUCUACCUGUACUGCUGCCUUUCUGUGUUUAUUAUCCUGUGCUCUGUUCUUUAUGCUGCUUGUUGUUAGCUGUUCUCUUUGCUAGUACCUGUCCCUCCAUGUGAUAGCUAGCCCUGCCUAUGUAUUGCCUACUUUUUGCUAUGCCAUAUGCCGAUAUAACCUAUUUCCUAGUGUGUGCGCG
rnacentral:rRNA from 1 species